rnacentral:rRNA from 1 species
UACGUAGGGUGCAAGCGUUGUCCGGAAUUAUUGGGCGUAAAGAGCUCGUAGGCGGUCUGUCGCGCCGGCUGUGAAAUCCCGGAGCUCAACUCCGGGUCUGCAGUCGAUACGGGCAAACUGGAGUACUGCAGGGGAGACUGGAAUUCCUGGUGUAGCGGUGAAAUGCGCAGAUAUCAGGAGGAACACCGGUGGCGAAGGCGGGUCUCUGGGCAGUAACUGAUGCUGAGGAGCGAAAGCGUGGGGAGCGAACAGG